rnacentral:rRNA from 1 species
AUUGAACGCUGGCGGCAUGCCUUACACAUGCAAGUCGAACGGCAGCACGGGAGCAAUCCUGGUGGCGAGUGGCGAACGGGUGAGUAAAGUAUCGGAACGUGCCCAGUCGUGGGGGAUAACGUAGCGAAAGUUACGCUAAUACCGCAUACGAUCUAGGGAUGAAAGCGGGGGAUCGCAAGGGCUCGGGCGAUUGGAGCGGCCGAUAUCAGAUUAGGUAGUUGGUGGGGUAAAGGCUCACCAAGCCGACGAUCUGUAGCUGGUCUGAGAGGACGACCAGCCACACUGGGACUGAGACACGGCCCAGACUCCUACGGGAGGCAGCAGUGGGGAAUUUUGGACAAUGGGCGAAAGCCUGAUCCAGCCAUGCCGCGUGCAGGAUGAAGGCCUUCGGGUUGUAAACUGCUUUUGUACGGAACGAAAAGAUUUGGCCUAAUAAGCUGAGCUCAUGACGGUACCGUAAGAAUAAGCACCGGCUAACUACGUGCCAGCCGCCGCCGUAA